UACGGAGGAUCCAAGCGUUAUCCGGAUUCAUUGGGUUUAAAGGGUGCGUAGGCGGAAUAAUAAGUCAGUGGUGAAAGCCCUCAGCUUAACUGAGGAACUGCCAUUGAUACUGUUAAUCUUGAGUACAUUUGAUGUGGGCGGAAUGUGUCAUGUAGCGGUGAAAUGCUUAGAUAUGACACAGAACACCGAUUGCGAAGGCAGCUCACAAAACUGUAACUGACGCUGAGGCACGAAAGCGUGGGUAU
rnacentral:rRNA from 1 species